rnacentral:rRNA from 1 species
UACGUAGGGUGCGAGCGUUAAUCGGAAUUACUGGGCGUAAAGCGUGCGCAGGCGGUUUUGUAAGCCAGAUGUGAAAGCCCCGGGCUCAACCUGGGAAUGGCAUUUGGGACUGCAAGGCUGGAGUUUGGCAGAGGAGACUGGAGUUCCUGGUGUAGCAGUGAAAUGCGUAGAUAUCAGGAGGAACACCGAUGGCGAAGGCAGGUCUCUGGGCUGAAACUGACGCUCAAGCACGAAAGCGUGGGGAGCAAACAGG